rnacentral:rRNA from 1 species
CCUACGGGAGGCAGCAGUGAGGAAUAUUGGUCAAUGGACGAGAGUCUGAACCAGCCAAGUAGCGUGAAGGAUGACUGCCCUAUGGGUUGUAAACUUCUUUUAUAAAGGAAUAAAACGAGGCACGUGUGCCUUUUUGUAUGUACCCUAUGAAUAAGGAUCGGCUAACUCCGUGCCAGCAGCCGCGGUAAUACGGAGGAUACGAGCGUUAUCCGGAUUUAUUGGGUUUAAAGGGAGCGUAGAUGGGUUGUUAAGUCAGUUGUGAAAGUUUGCGGCUCAACCGUAAAAUUGCAAUUGAUACUGGCAGUCUUGAGUACAGUUGAGGUAGGCGGAAUGCGUGGUGUAGCGGUGAAAUGCUUAGAUAUCACGAAGAACCCCGAUUGCGAAGGCAGCUUACUGAACUGUGACUGACAUUGAUGCUCGAAAGUGUGGGUAACAAACAGGAUUAGAUACCCCGGUAGUC